UAUCUUGUCUAUCCUCCGACUUCAGAUGCCCAACUGUACUCCAAAAAACUAUAAUCUCGCCUUACCAGAUUUUCAAUUGAAGAUUCCAAUAAUAUUUUCCUUUGAAAGGAAAUUAAAAAAAAAGAAAAGAAAAUAAACUAGAAUUUCGCACUUUGUACUAAAAGAUGGAUGUCAUAACAUUUGGUGUUAUAAUCGGGAUAAUCGUUCUUUUCUUAUGCAUUGUUUGUUUCAUCACCAUCGAAGGCACCUGUAAACGCCGUUCUUAGUAAACCUUUUCUAAUACGCCCUAAUAAACCCAUGUUCUCAGAUCCCUUUUAAAUUCUUCGUUACUUCACAUCCUUUUUUCACUUGAAAAUUAGACUACCGAUGUCGUCUUUCAAGACCCAGAUCUUUGUUUUCUCAGUUUUGGAUCUUAUCUUACUCUCUGGGUUUUGUUUCGAUCUGGGUUUCGCCACUGGAACGACGCCGUCGCAUGACCACCACCACCACCACCACCACCACCACCACCACCACCACCACCAUGACCACAAUCUUGGUGGGCAUCAGCAUACGGACAAGAAAAUGUUACUGCCAGAGGAGCUGGCUGAGGAGGAAGAUAUGAGAUUGUACGGAUUUGGGCCUUACUAUCACGAUCACGAUCACGAUCAAGAUCACCAUGUUGGUGAUCUGCAGCACGUGGGUUUCGGGCUGUGGUUUAAUGCAUUGGGUUGUUCACUUUUGGUGAGCUUAGCGUCUUUGAUUUCCUUGAUAAUCUUGCCAGUAAUCUUUAUACAGGGGAAGCCAUCCAAAGCGGUUGUUGAUUCAUUGGCUUUGUUUGGGGCUGGAGCUAUGUUAGGGGAUGCUUUUCUUCACCAAUUGCCUCAUGCUUUUGGUGGAGAGCAUUCCCACUCACACGAUCACCAUGAGGAUCAUACACAUCAGCAUUCACAUUCUUUGAAAGAUCUUUCCGUGGGAAUAUCUGUUCUAGUGGGAAUUGUACUCUUUCUUCUGGUUGAGAAAUUGGUAAGAUAUGUUGAUGAGAACUCUGGAGAAACUGAUUCAUGGGGUCAUGGUCAUCACCACCACCAUCAUAAUAAUACAAAAUUGAAGAAUGAUGAUGAUAUUAAUGGAAAGAAGCAAUCGCAACCCUGUUGUGGAAUUGAAGAAAAAGGUUCAAAUCAAAUGUCUGAAGACUCAUUGAAUAGAGAUAGUGUUAUUCAGCAGGAGUCUCUUCGGAGGAGAAAGACUUCCUCUAGUGCUGGGGAUGAUAAAUCAGAUGUAGAUGCCAUAGAUAGCUUGUCCAAUGAUCCUAAAUCCUUGGAAAAGAAAGAACCUGCUCAAUCAUCAAAUCUUGUGUUUGGUUAUCUCAAUCUUUUUUCUGAUGGUGUUCACAAUUUUACUGAUGGGAUGGCAUUAGGAAGUGCUUUCCUGCUUUAUGGAUCUGUUGGUGGGUGGUCUAGAACUUUAUUUUUGCUUGCCCAUGAGCUUCCUCAAGAGGUAUUUACAAAUACGAAGGAUGCAGAAAUUAUAGGAAUCACCUUGCAGACAUUUCCAGUAAAGAAAAUUCCCAGUUCAGUUUAAUCCUCCCCGUGAUUUUAGUUCAAGCUAAAAUUGAUUUGUUAGCCAGUUCUGACAUUUAAUAGUAGACAAUUGAACCAAAUUUGGUUGGUGAUUUUGGUAUUCUGGUGAGAUCAGGAUUCAGUGUAUCCAAAGCUCUGUUCUUCAACUUUCUCUCUGCACUUGUGGCUUUAGCAGGAACUGCAAUGGCUUUGCUCUGGGGACAGGAUCCUGGACAGUCGUCAUUGAUUGAGGGAUUCACGGCAGGUGGAUUUAUCUACGUCGCCGUUGCUGGAGUUCUUGCAGAAAUGAAUAAUAACGGAAACACAGCACUGAAAAGUACCGCUGUCCAAUUAACCUCACUGAUAUUGGGCAUGUGUGUCGCCCUUUGUAUUUCGCUUGUUGAAUGACAAAAAACAUUUGGAAAUGUAAAAAUUAGCCACACAAGUACAUGAUUUAUUUUAAGAGUUUUCAAUCAAAAUUGAUGUCAUUAGUAA